GGAUGGACCAACCUCUGGUGCACCAGUUGUUCCGCCAGGAGCACAGCUGGGUAGCUAUGUUGGGAAGGGAUAAACGCUGAAAGCAUCUAAGCGUGAAGCCCACCUCAAGAUUAGAUUUCCCAUAGCGUAAGCUAGUAAGACCCCUGAAAGACUAUCAGGUUGAUAGGUUGGAGGUGUAAGUACAGUAAUGUAUUCAGCUGACCAAUACUAAUAGGUCGAGGGCUUGAUCAAAUA
rnacentral:rRNA from 1 species